GGAUGUGCUGUGAAAUUAUUUAGCAGUGUGGUUCAAAAUCAGGCAGGCGAACCCAACGGCCUACACCCUUCAUUCUCUUUUUUAGUGGAAGAGAAAAACAUGCUGACCUCCUAAACACCCCCAGAAUCCCCAGCAAGUCUUUGCUUCACUUGUCUUUUACAGGAUUAUGCUGAGUCUGGAGAGACAGUGAAGACAUUACUCAUGCAGAAGUCCAUACCAAACCAGCAUCACCUCACAAGGCUGGGAUGAAGAAGUUCAUAGAUUUCAUGAAACCAUUCAACAUAUAGCAGGAUCCUAAUCGCACCCCAAAUGACAGAUUCUGCCAGCAAGAGACCUAACACCAGCCCUCAGCCUUGGGCCUCAACUGUGAGUGAAGCAAGUCCCCUUAUUACUUAACCAGUCUGUGUUCUUCACAACGGGAAAAGGACUGUAACAGUAUCCCACUAAGCUCUGCAUCCCACUUUCUCCAAAUAUCUUUUCUUGCAAGAAGUUCCUCAAAGUCUGAAGAGAAAGGCAUCUAUCCGAUCUCUGACUCUCCAGUCAGGCUCACUGGUCCCACCACAAACUAAUAAGACCCUCACCAAAAGUUAUGAUGGCAAGAGUUUGGUACAAAGUGCCAAACAGACAACAUGCCUAGACAAGAAAACAUUCUUUUUUUUUUUUCUCUAAGGAAGUUGGCCAUUUGGAUUUUCAAUAAUGAGAACUGCCAAAGAAUCUUAGAUUUUACUGGAUUAGAAGAUGUGAAGGACUUAAGGGAAAUGGAGGUGAUGGGAAUCAAAUUGCUUUAACAUUUUUCCUAGAAGCUGACUGGAUGGGUACCAGUGCCAUCGUAUUUCAUGAGUCUUAAAUAUUCAAAGCCCUGUUUGUAGCUGCGAUAGGGUCUCCUCUCUCAUCUGGGAGCAGCCAGCUUUGGGGUGUUCAUUGGAAGGUUCUUUAGCUUCACCUCUUCUCAUAUUGUCCACCAUAAGCUGAGGUGGCCCUGGUGGAGCUCCUGAGGAGGGAGGUCCCACUGUCAAUCUCGACACCUCAGUUGAUGGAGCGUUGCUGUAGACAGGGUUCCACCACGGCCCUAAAGGU